rnacentral:rRNA from 1 species
AUUGAACGCUGGCGGCAGGCCUAACACAUGCAAGUCGAACGAGUGGCGGACGGGUGAGUAAUGUCUGGGAAACUGCCUGAUGGAGGGGGAUAACUACUGGAAACGGUAGCUAAUACCGCAUACCAUCGGAUGUGCCCAGAUGGGAUUAGCUAGUAGGUGGGGUAACGGCUCACCUAGGCGACGAUCCCUAGCUGGUCUGAGAGGAUGACCAGCCACACGGGAACUGAGACACGUUCCAGACUCUUACGGGAGUAAGCAGUGGGGAAUAUUGCACAAUGGGCGCAAGCCUGAUGCAGCCAGGCCGCGUGUAUGAAGAAGGCCUUCGGGUGUUAAAGUACUUUCAGCGGGGAGGCGUUACCCGCAGAAGAAGCACCGGCUAACUCCGUGCCAGCAGCCGCGGUAAUUC